rnacentral:rRNA from 1 species
CCGACGGUGAGAGAUGAAAGCUGGGGGCACGAACCGGAUUAGAUACCCGGGUAGUCCCAGCCGUAAACGAUGCUCGCUAGGUGUCAGGCAUGGCGCGACCGUGUCUGGUGCCGCAGGGAAGCCGUGAAGCGAGCCACCUGGGAAGUACGGCCGCAAGGCUGAAACUUAAAGGAAUUGGCGGGGGAGCACAACAACGGGUGGAGCCUGCGGUUUAAUUGGACUCAACGCCGGACAACUCACCGGGGGCGACAGCAAUAUGUAGGCCAAGCUGAAGACUUUGCCUGAAUCGCUGAGAGGAGGUGCAUGGCCGUCGCCAGUUCGUACUGUGAAGCAUCCUGUUAAGUC